UACAGAGGGGGCAAGCGUUGUUCGGAAUUACUGGGCGUAAAGGGCGCGUAGGCGGCCUGUUAAGUCGAACGUGAAAUCCCCAGGCUCAACCUGGGAACUGCGUCCGAUACUGGCAGGCUUGAAUUCGGGAGAGGGAUGCGGAAUUCCAGGUGUAGCGGUGAAAUGCGUAGAUAUCUGGAGGAACACCGGUGGCGAAGGCGGCAUCCUGGACCGGCAUUGACGCUGAGGCGCGAAAGCCAGGGGAGCAAACGGG
rnacentral:rRNA from 1 species